CCUCACAAUAUAGUAUCUGACAGAGGUUCUCAGUUUGUGUCUCGGUUUUGGAUGGCCUUCAAUAAACAAUUAGGGAUUUAAUUGUCUUUUCAUCCUCUUACCACUCCCAGACCAAUGGUACAGCUGAGAGGGCUAGCCAGUCCUUGGAAUUAUAUUUGUGUUGUUAGUUAAUAGCACUCAAGACAAUUGGUCCGAAUUACU